rfam:Dipodomys ordii contig_52426, whole genome shotgun sequence.
GGUGGCUCAGUGGUAGAGUGCUUGCCUUGCAUGCAUGAAGUCCUGGGUUCGAUUCCUCAGCACCA